CUCGGAGGUGGAGUCGCGGUGAAGGUCGUCGUCAGAGAUUCCCACCUCGGUCUCCUCCUCCGAG
rnacentral:pre_miRNA from 1 species